rnacentral:rRNA from 1 species
GACGGAGGGUGCAAGCGUUGUUCGGAAUUACUGGGCGUAAAGGGCGAGUAGGCGGCCUUCUAAGUCAGACGUGAAAUCCCUCGGCUUAACCGAGGAACUGCGUCCGAUACUGAAAGGCUUGAAUCCGGGAGAGGGAUGUGGAAUUCCAGGUGUAGCGGUGAAAUGCGUAGAUAUCUGGAGGAACACCGGUGGCGAAGGCGGCAUCCUGGACCGGCAUUGACGCUGAGGCGCGAAAGCUAGGGGAGCAAACGGG